GGAAAAUGACAUAUCCCUCCAGCUCUUGAAAGCAGAGAAAAAUAUUUACUGGCCCUAAAAUUGCCCUGGAGGAGAAUAUGAUGGUAUUUUCUAAGACUAGUCCUACUCUAUCUGCACACCUGCUGGAUUUUGUAACGAUUUGAAUAUGGUGUAUAAUUGAGACUGGAUUGCUCUUGAGUCCACCGGUAGGAGCCAAUGAAUGGGACAAGUUUCUGGCUUUCACGCUGCAGAAUGAGUGCCAUCACAAAUGAAGUUCUAGUCUAGGAAAGGACGAUUGCUUUGAACAGGUUCACAAGCAAUCUCCCAUUUCCACGAACAUUGGGUGGGAAUGCUGAGCUAGUAGGAGCCUGCCACAUUUGCAAAACAUUUCAAGAAUCACUACAUUUGGAGGGCAGUACUUUGAAGAAAUAAAUUAAUGUUGCACAAGCAGAGGAGUCUGAAGUUACGAUGUUCUCUAGGAAAAAACCCUUUCAGUGGUCGUAUGGUCAAGAUUAACAGUUCUGAAGAUGGCAAUGUCCACAGUUUCAGAGGUGCCCGGUGACAGAGCAAGAAACCACAAAGGGAAAAACAGAAAAACAGGAAGGCUUGCUUUACUUUAUUCCUUAUAUGGAUGUAAAACUUUAAGGAAGUAUAUCUGUGAAAAUACAGGGACAUGGGACUGUUCUACUGUAACUGAGGCUUAAUAAAAGAAAUCCUUCACAAGAAUAACACCUUCUGCAUAGAAUGAACUGCUGUCUGUGAAAUUACAAUCUGUACAAUGGAACAGAACUGACCUUGUCACAAGCAAGUUACACACAGCCGAGUUUAUUCUCCCCUAAGCUGGUUUGUAACACCCAUUAUAUUUAAUGGGAGUUUAAAUGAGUGUCAA